GUAAGGAAAUCUACACAAGGGGAGAUCAAAAAAAGAAAGCAGGCAGUUCUCUUCUGUUUAAGCGAUAACAAAAGACAAAUAAUUGUAGAGGAAGCAAAGCAGAUCUUGGUGGGUGACGCUGGUGACGCUGCAGAGGACCCUACACAUCUCUGUGAAGCCGCUGCCUCUGAACGAUUGCCGAUAGGCUUUGUGCGAUGCCACGUGCGAGACAAAAGAGCCUAAGAAAGAAGACCUAGCAUCUAUAUUCUGGGCUCCUGAAAGUGCACCUUUAAAUAGCAAGAUGAUUUAUGCUAGCUCUAAAGAUACCAUUAAAAAGAAAUUUACAGAUAUUAAACAUGAGUGGCAAGUAAAUGGCUUGGAUGAUAUUAAGGACCAUUCGACACUUGGAAAGAAAUUGGAAGUCAAUGUAGUAGUUUCACUUGAAGGAAAGCCAUUAUAAAAUGACAGUCAAAUGCCAUCUGGAUCUUAAGGAGCUUCCAUUUCUGCAGCUCAGUCCUCGGAAUAGUAUUAGGUUUUGUUUUUUUGUUGUUGUUUUGUUUUAUUCCCCUUUCCACUGGGCCCUUCCAACACAAGGAAUGAAGGAGAUAUCAUUCAUUUAAGCAGCCUAUCAGUGAUUGCCAUUAGACUGUUUAUACUGUUACUUUUAUGUAGAGCCUAAGGAAUGCCUUCUUGUUAUAUUUUAGCCAAAACAACUGGUUAUAUAUGCCUCCCCUACAGCAAGCACUACAGUGAAUGUGUUUGUCAAUGUGAAUAGCUUAGAAUACUGCAAAGGGGAAGCUAAUUGAAUGCCUUGAAAAGUACUAUCCACUGGUCAGAUGGUAAACUUUUUUCAGUAUUAUUUAAAGUUCCACUUGAUUGCACUCUGAGGCUCGAGCACUGAUACACCUCACCUGCCUUGGCAAGCCUAUUUUUGUGACAUGGCAGCACAGAUAAACACUAUGCAUUAAAAGCACUUUUCUGUAAUAAGUUUAAUCUUCCAAAAGGAAUGCCAAUUAAGUUUUUUU